CGCUGGCGGCAGGCUUAACACAUGCAAGUCGAACGGUAACAGGAGAAAGCUUGCUUUCUUGCUGACGAGUGGCGGACGGGUGAGUAAUGCUUGGGAAUCUGGCUUAUGGAGGGGGAUAACGACGGGAAACUGUCGCUAAUACCGCGUAGAAUCGAGAGAUGAAAGUGCGGGACCGCAAGGCCGCAUGCCAUAGGAUGAGCCCAAGUGGGAUUAGGUAGUUGGUGGGGUAAAGGCCUACCAAGCCGACGAUCUCUAGCUGGUCUGAGAGGAUGACCAGCCACACCGGGACUGAGACACGGCCCGGACUCCUACGGGAGGCAGCAGUGGGGAAUAUUGCGCAAUGGGGGCAACCCUGACGCAGCCAUGCCGCGUGAAUGAAGAAGGCCUUCGGGUUGUAAAGUUCUUUCGGUAUUGAGGAAGGUUGUUGUGUUAAUAGCACGACAAAUUGACGUUAAAUACAGAAGAAGCAC
rnacentral:rRNA from 1 species